rnacentral:rRNA from 1 species
ACGGAAGGCAGCAGUGGGGAAUAUUGGGCAAUGGGCGAAGCCUGACCCAGCAACGCCGCGUGAAGGAAGAAGGCCUUCGGGUUGUAAACUUCUUUUAUCAGGGACGAAGAACGUGACGGUACCUGAUGAAUAAGCCACGGCUAACUACGUGCCAGCAGCCGCGGUAAUACGUAGGUGGCAAGCGUUAUCCGGAUUUACUGGGUGUAAAGGGCGCGUAGGCGGGGAUGCAAGUCAGGUGUGAAAUCUAUGGGCUUAACCCAUAAACUGCAUUUGAAACUGUAUCUCUUGAGUGUCGGAGAGGUAGAUGGAAUUCCUAGUGUAGCGGUGAAAUGCGUAGAUAUUAGGAAGAACACCAGUGGCGAAGGCGGCCUGCUGGACGACAACUGACGCCGAGGCGCGAAAGCGUGGGGAGCAAACAGGAUUAGAUACCCUGGUA